rnacentral:rRNA from 1 species
UACGUAGGGUGCAAGCGUUAAUCGGAAUUACUGGGCGUAAAGCGUGCGCAGGCGGUGAUGUAAGACAGGUGUGAAAUCCCCGGGCUUAACCUGGGAACUGCAUUUGUGACUGCAUCGCUGGAGUGCGGCAGAGGGGGAUGGAAUUCCGCGUGUAGCAGUGAAAUGCGUAGAUAUGCGGAGGAACACCGAUGGCGAAGGCAAUCCCCUGGGCCUGCACUGACGCUCAUGCACGAAGCGUGGGGAGCAAACAG